GGGAUAACAGGCUGAUACCGCCCAAGAGUUCAUAUCGACGGCGGUGUUUGGCACCUCGAUGUCGGCUCAUCACAUCCUGGGGCUGAAGUAGGUCCCAAGGGUAUGGCUGUUCGCCAUUUAAAGUGGUACGCGAGCUGGGUUUAGAACGUCGUGAGACAGUUCGGUCCCUAUCUGCCGUGGGCGCUGGAGAACUGAGGGGGGCUGCUCCUAGUACGAGAGGACCGGAGUGGACGCAUCACUGGUGUUCGGGUUGUCAUGCCAAUGGCACUGCCCGGUAGCUAAAUGCGGAAGAGAUAAGUGCUGAAAGCAUCUAAGCACGAAACUUGCCCCGAGAUGAGUUCUCCCUGACUCCUUGAGAGUCCUGAAGGAACGUUGAAGACGACGACGUUGAUAGGCCGGGUGUGUAAGCGCAGCGAUGCGUUGAGCUAACCGGUACUAAUGAACCGUGAGGCUUAACCUUACAACGCCGAAGGUGUUU
rnacentral:rRNA from 1 species